UUGACAGCAAUUUUCAGUGACUCACCUCUACGGUCUUUUUAAAGUAGUCCACAUUGUUUCCCUAGAAACAAGAGUGCUAUUUCUUUUUACAUUCCUAUUCCAGCAGUUUAAUUAAACGAUAAGUCAGCCCUUGUCAUUUUCCUUCCCUGUACUUCGAACGGUUCACCCACCUUCCCGAAAGGACAAGCAAAAUCCAGGCCGAGGCUGGACACCCCGUCCCCUGCCCACCCUUCUGGGGUCCUCUCCUUGGGUCUCAGCAUCAGCUGUUUGACCUCCAGGCACCUGACAAACAGCCAAGGGAAUUCUAACCCACACUUUCCCUUCACCUUGACCCCUCUACAACGUCCUUCUCCUAGAUGUCAACAGGGUCCAGUCUUAGAGGGGCCUUUUCAGCUCUGGGCUCAAGUGUCACGUUUUCAUCCUAUUGAAAAUAAGGGACGCCCACUGAGACUUUUCCACCUUCCCAUCCUGUCCUGCUUUAUUUUUUGUUAUUGGUUCAAUUUCUUGACAGCACCCCUGACAUACAAUUUGAACUUCAAGAUGGCAGAGAUUAUCAUCUGUUCGUCGGUGUUCUCCAGGACCAGGACCAGCAGGCCCAGUACCGUCACUAAGUUGCCCACAGUUUGAAAAGGGCUGCACAGCCCCCUGGCGUGCUUUUCCAGGGAAUAGUAUCCUUUUGACAUCCUUUCCACGACCAUGUGAGAAGGUGGCGCCUUAACCUGUGGGGAAAGUCUGAGCGUGGGUUCCCGAGGCCAGCCCGGUUGCUAAGAGAAAGGUGGGAAGGAAGAGAGGCGCCACCGCUCUGGAGACUGGAAGCCCACCUGAGGUUUUCGUCCUCCUGCGACCUCCAGCCGCCCCCAAUUCCGCGCCGACGGUGCGGGGAAGGCGACGCGGGCACAACCCCGCCUACAGGAUUUGCAGCUGGGCAGGUGAACUCUUCCUGCAGCUGGAUGAAUAAUGAAUGGAGCCGGGAGAGGAAAGGGAGAGCCGGCCCAGCCGUGGAUGAAGUCGCCCCCCUCCCAGCCCGCCACUCCCUUCCCCCUGCCUGAGUGCUAACCCUGACACUGUCCCCGCGGCUCUGAGCAGAGAAGCAAGCAGGCAGCCUCGUGUUUUCGGUACCGAGGAAGAUUUAUUUCAGGGCAACUGAAUAAUCUACAUCCAAAACACUCUAACCCACUACUUAUAAAAUCUUAAGUGGGGAGACUCAUUUGGGGCGCGGGAGGACAGUAAGACCGAUGGAGCUGGGGUGAGGAUUUUAUGUUUCACAGGAGUGAGAUCAACUGCUCGCUCCUCAUCUACAGGCUCCACGUAGUUGCUUUUCCUUCAGGGGUUAGGGUAGAAGUGGAAGGAAGAUCCACUUCCAGAAAUGUCACCUCAAAAGGCCACCCAUCCACCCCCAAAAAGCAGAGAGGAGGCCGUGGCGGACUGUGAUUUUUUUUACCUCAAGAGAAACCAGGAGUGGGGAUUUCAGGAGAGAGGAAAACCCACUCCAUGUCCGCCCCUCGCCCCAAAUCAGAAACUUCCACCCAACCCACAACACUCAAAAACCCCGCUGAGUGUUUUAAACGGCACGAAGGAACACACACACACACACACACACACACACACACACACACACACACACACACACACACACACACACACACACACUCGGCACCG